GCAUCAUUGGUGUAGUGGUUAUCAUGGAAUCUUCCCAAGAGAGGAAUUCAUCCCAAUCGUUAGGUUCCGACGUGGGUUCGAUUCCCGCAUGAUGCA